ACAACCUGGUUUAGGGUUUCUCACUUCAUCUCAUGGUUUCUUUCUCUCGUGUCUACAAUAAUACUGCAGAACAAAGAAGAAGAUCCAUAACUCAUAAACAAGAAAUCAACACAUUUUUAAUCGCAAAUCUAACCGUUCUUCCAAAGCCAAAACCUAUCUUUUCAAACCCAAAACCUUACCGAAGGAGAAAACUUUCAUUGAAUCGUAUACAAUUUUCCCUCUCUCGAACAUAUUAUGGUUCUUUCAUCAUCCCUUUGAGUAAAAAAUGGCAGAAUCGCGGUUCAAGCAAUACACGUACAUCCCCCAAAACCCUCUACCCCUCUCCCCUCCUUCUAUAAUCCCAAUACCCAACCCCUUCGACAUGUACCGCGUCAAAAAUGACACCGUCGUAUUCCCAGCCAUCCACGUCGAAGACGAAAGCAUCUUCCCAGUCAUUGAGACGGCGUCUACCAACCAAAGUCCAAGAGAACCCGCGCCGCCUAUGACAAUCUCCUCACCCUCAUCCAGCAGCCCUUCCCCGGCCAGCCGCUCAGUACAGUUAGAUUCGUCGCCGAUAAGAUUCUCUAAAUUCUCAAAAACAAUGCCGUUGAUUACCAUGACAAGAGGAUCAAAGUUGAGAUGCUUCUUAACCCUAUCCCUAAUCAUGUUUUUGAUUAUCUUGUUUCGGUUGGUAAGUUUAUAACUGAUUUCUAUGGGUUUGCUGCUGGUCAUGUUAUCGGCGGUGUUGUCGACGGUGUCCGGAGUUUAUCCAUUUGCAACGAUAGAUAGAACAUUAUGAUGUAGUUACUUUCUGCAUUCAAGAAUUAUGUGAAUAGUUGCGGUCAGUGUGGUAGCUGUGAUGCACAUUGCUGCGUGAGUUUUAAUUGGAUUUCUAUGGGUAUGCUCUGCUGUCUUUGAUUCCUCACAAGCAUCGUUCUUUCUUCUUCCGAAGCUCUCCUUUUCACACAUGGAUCCUAACCAGGUAAGUCAUGUUUUUCUCCCAUCAUUCUCAGAUCUGGAUUCGUACUCUCAUCCAUGAUUUCCAUUUCAUUUCCUCUAUCGAUUCACAUAAGAUUCAUGUGAUUAGUAUAAUUUUCAUAUGCGUGGAGUCUAUAAUUGAAAACACCUUGGACAUUGAUAGAGAACACCUUGGAAUUCCUGAGGCUGAAUAUCAUGCCAUUGUUAGGAUGCGAUCUGCUAAGUUUGCUAGGAUUUGCAAAGAUCUUAGUAGCAACUAGCUAGCUCACACCACUAGAGAUUCUAUUUUACACAUGUGAGUUUCUUGUAUUUCUUCAUUCAUAACACUAUAUUGUUCAGUGCAUAUAGAUAUAGAUAUGGAUUGUGAUUUGGGUUUAGUCAAAAUUUUCAGAGUUAGUCAUGUUUCAUGAUCUUGUGUUGUCGGUAUAUCUCUCUAUGUUGUCUUGCUCCUCUAAUUUUAAUUUUUAUUAAUUAUUUGAUUUCGUUGGUUUCGACUCGACUUGGUGAGCAUAUUCAGAAUUUCAUUUGACUUAAUAUUUAAUACUUUCGCUUUAUGAUUGUGAAGGGGAUUUUCAAUAAUACCCUGUUUUUGUCAAAACACAAACUGGAAAUAAAAUUGGUCCUCAGGUGAGACCUGAUUUCAUCACAAAGCUUUAUAGAUUUACAUAAAGAAACAUAUGGAAGAUAAAAAUGAAAUUUCUGAGGUAGCUGUUACUACUACAUGUGGUUUCUCCAUGGAAAUGGCCGUUUGGUAUGAACUUUUUCUCUUGCAUUAAGAUGAUGUUUAAAUUCUAGUGUAUCAUAAUGUCAUAAUGAAUUAUAAUCUAUCUUUUCUAUAGCAUUUUCUUAUUAAAUAAUCCAUUCAUAGAGAACAAAAAGGUAUUCACACAAAACUCUAUUAAUUAUUGUAUAUUUAGUAUUUUGUGUUUUUCUACUCUUGUUUAGUUAAUUUUAAUGUUAAAGAGCUGGUUUAGGUUUAAGGUUAAACCUUAAAUAAUAAAGAUGUUUAGACAAUAGAAUAAAUGUAUUAGAUAAUGAAAACAAUAGUUAUUUUUUUUGUUGGUGAUAUUGCUCUUUAUAAGAUUGAUAAUGGAGGAAUAAAUGGAAUUCCUUCUACACCUCACUGUUUGUGAGAUCAACAUUUGUAUGAGAAAUUUGUAGUAGUUGAUGACAUGGAUGAGGGUAUGUAUGCUAUUUAACAUGCAUGUGCUAACCUUUUAUUUUAUCUUAUGUUGAAUCUUGGUCAUAUGCUAUGAAGCACAGACUACGACACGGACACCGGGACACGACACGACACGGACACUCCGACACCGAUAAUGUUGAAAAUAUAGGACACCGACACCGCUGCAUAUAAGCUAAUAUUUGAGUUUCAUUUAUCCAUAUAUUGAUCAAAAUUAAUGUCCGAAAUUCUUUAUUGAUAACAUUGUUUCAAUACAUGUUUAACUCUUUUAAAUGUGUGUGAGAUUUGUCCAAAAAAAUAUAUAAAUGUGUGUUGGAGCAAAGAAAUAAAACAAAUUUUUGUUUGAAAUAUUUGUCUUGAGUUGUCCGAAAUAUGUGGUAUGGUGUCAUACGAGUGUCGGACUCUGAUUAAAAGAGUGUCGAAGCAAAGAAAAAAACCAUUUUUUAGAGGACACUUGUUUGACUUUUCCGACACGUGUCGUACGGGUGUCAUACAAGCGUCGGACACCGACGCGUGUCGGACACCGCGACACGCCUACUCCUAGAGGUGUCCGUGCUUCAUAGGUCAUAUGUUCCUGUUUUACUAUGUAAUUUUAUUAAGUUACUAUUGUUGCUCUCAUAUGAGGAAUCAACCUAAUUAAGUUUCAAAUUAGAUUUUAACUAGAUAUUAAUUGAUUUAUUAAUCCACAUUUGUUAUCUGAUAGGUUUUCUUCAUUUUUAAGCAGUAUCAGGUAUAUUCGUGUUGGCUCUCUAUGUAUUAGGUAUUAGGAAAAAUAUGUAAAAAUAUAUGAUGUUUCUUUCUAUUUAUUUGGUUGUGUAUGUUUUCUUGCUUAAAAACUGAAAUUAUUGUCAUAUCAAUCUUUAGGAAGAGAAAUAGAGAGGAUGAACAGGAUAUGAGCAUCUCAAUGAGCCACUUCACAUAUUGUUGACAGGAGGCUUAGGCAGGCUUAUGAAUUUAUAGAAGAAAUGAUAAAUUUUGUGGUAAGUUCAUUCACUAUGAGUAUUCAUCUUCUCAAAUAAGCAUUAGGUUGUGUAAGGUGUCUUAUGUACUAGUCUACUUUGCUUUGUCUUAAAACUUGUAUUAAGAUACUGAUUACUGAAUGUCUAUACAUAUUUAGAAGAUUUAGAGCUCCUAAUAAAAGGUGAUGAAACAAAUGUUUAAUGGUUUCAAGGUAUGUUGCUCAAUUCUCUAAAUACGAGUAAUGUCAUUUGAUUCUUUGAAGUGAGAUACAAAACUUCCCGACCUAUAUUUUAAUGUCCUGCUUUGUAUAUAUCACAUAUCAUAUUAUUUGUUUGAAUAUGAUUACCUCGUGUACUAAUAUUUUAAUAUAUUCUCUUUUGGUGCUUCAAAAGAAAUUUAUUUAGGUAAUAUAUAUAUCUUUUUGGAAUUUAAAGAAAAUAUAAUUAGUUAUUGAACUAAAUACAUGGCUAUUUUGGAGGUAGCAGAACCCACAUGCAAAAGUAGAAAGAUUGGGCAGAAAUAGAAAUGUAAGGCCAAAUGCUUAUUAAAAAAAGGAAAUGGAAGGCCAGUGUAUUCAUAAUAAAAGUGCUGGACUAAACUUUUCUAAUUGAAAUUAAAGGCAUUUUGUAGGCAGGAGAUGGAAGAGGGGCCAUGUCUGUACUUUCAUAUAAAUGAAAAACUGUAACUAGCUGGUUCCACUAACAAUGUUCCAGUUUGACCAACAUGUUUUUCAAGCUUAAAAUUCAAUAUUGAAGUUUAGCUUUUUAAUUUAAUUUUGAAUAUUUUUUCAAAAAAAUAUUUAGUGUGUUUUUGCUGAAACUACAUGGGCAGGUGCUGCAUAUUAUUUGAUGUUAUACAUGCUUGCCAAUCAUACAUAUCUUCAGUCCCUUACCCUUAGGCUUGAGGAAAUGAGAGUCAAAAGGCGGGAUUCAGAACAAUGGAUGCAUCAUCGCUUGCUCCCAAAAGAGCCUAGAGAGCGUGUGAGACGGUAUGAUCAAUAUAAGUGGUUGGCAACAUGUGGAGUAGAUGAAGAUAUUUUAGUUCAGAGCCUACUAAAGGAUCUUCGAAGAGAUAUUAAGCGUCAUCUCUGUUUGGCUUUAGUGAGGAGGGUAUGCUGUCACAGCCCUUAAAAUUAGUGAAACACCAAAACACUAUCUGAAAUGUGUGAUGGAUCAACAUAUUAUCUAGGUGCAGAUGUAAAAGAUAGAGCUAACGAGUUCAAUAUUUUUGUUGUUUUUUAGAAAUUCUCAAAGAUAGUUAUAUGUACUUUUAACAUCAAUUUAGCAUUUUAGAAUUUUCAAGUUGUUGUAUAUAUCUUCAAUUCUAUAUAUGUAGAUUUUUU